GACGAACGCUGGCGGCGUGCCUAAUACAUGCAAGUCGAACGAACUCUGGUAUUGAUUGGUGCUUGCAUCAUGAUUUACAUUUGAGUGAGUGGCGAACUGGUGAGUAACACGUGGGAAACCUGCCCAGAAGCGGGGGAUAACACCUGGAAACAGAUGCUAAUACCGCAUAACAACUUGGACCGCAUGGUCCGAGUUUGAAAGAUGGCUUCGGCUAUCACUUUUGGAUGGUCCCGCGGCGUAUUAGCUAGAUGGUGGGGUAACGGCUCACCAUGGCAAUGAUACGUAGCCGACCUGAGAGGGUAAUCGGCCACAUUGGGACUGAGACACGGCCCAAACUCCUACGGGAGGCAGCAGUAGGGAAUCUUCCACAAUGGACGAAAGUCUGAUGGAGCAACGCCGCGUGAGUGAAGAAGGGUUUCGGCUCGUAAAACUCUGUUGUUAAAGAAGAACAUAUCUGAGAGUAACUGUUCAGGUAUUGACGGUAUUUAACCAGAAAGCCACGGCUAACUACGUGCCAGCAGCCGCGGUAAUACGUAGGUGGCAAGCGUUGUCCGGAUUUAUUGGGCGUAAAGCGAGCGCAGGCGGUUUUUUAAGUCUGAUGUGAAAGCCUUCGGCUCAACCGAAGAAGUGCAUCGGAAACUGGGAAACUUGAGUGCAGAAGAGGACAGUGGAACUCCAUGUGUAGCGGUGAAAUGCGUAGAUAUAUGGAAGAACACCAGUGGCGAAGGCGGCUGUCUGGUCUGUAACUGACGCUGAGGCUCGAAAGUAUGGGUAGCAAACAGGAUUAGAUACCCUGGUAGUCCAUACCGUAAACGAUGAAUGCUAAGUGUUGGAGGGUUUCCGCCCUUCAGUGCUGCAGCUAACGCGUUAAGCAUUCCGCCUGGGGAGUACGGCCGCAAGGCUGAAACUCAAAGGAAUUGACGGGGGCCCGCACAAGCGGUGGAGCAUGUGGUUUAAUUCGAAGCUACGCGAAGAACCUUACCAGGUCUUGACAUACUAUGCAAAUCUAAGAGAUUAGACGUUCCCUUCGGGGACAUGGAUACAGGUGGUGCAUGGUUGUCGUCAGCUCGUGUCGUGAGAUGUUGGGUUAAGUCCCGCAACGAGCGCAACCCUUAUUAUCAGUUGCCAGCAUUAAGUUGGGCACUCUGGUGAGACUGCCGGUGACAAACCGGAGGAAGGUGGGGAUGACGUCAAAUCAUCAUGCCCCUUAUGACCUGGGCUACACACGUGCUACAAUGGAUGGUACAACGAGUUGCGAACUCGCGAGAGUAAGCUAAUCUCUUAAAGCCAUUCUCAGUUCGGAUUGUAGGCUGCAACUCGCCUACAUGAAGUCGGAAUCGCUAGUAAUCGCGGAUCAGCAUGCCGCGGUGAAUACGUUCCCGGGCCUUGUACACACCGCCCGUCACACCAUGAGAGUUUGUAACACCCAAAGUCGGUGGGGUAACCUUUUAGGAACCAGCCGCCUAAGGUGGGACAGAUGAUUAGGGUG
rnacentral:rRNA from 1 species